GAGAGGAGCGGAGGGAUCAUUACAGAGUUACCGCUCUAUAACCCUUUGUGAACAUACCUUACUGUUGCUUCGGCGGGUUGGGGGAUUCUAUCCCCCCCCGGCCGCGCCCCUCGCGGGGCGUGGCGCCCGCCGGAGGAUACCGAAACUCUAUUUUAACGACGUCUCUUCUGAGUGGCACAAGCAAAUAAUUAAAACUUUUAACAACGGAUCUCUUGGUUCUGGCAUCGAUGAAGAACGCAGCGAAAUGCGAUAAGUAAUGUGAAUUGCAGAAUUCAGUGAAUCAUCGAAUCUUUGAACGCACAUUGCGCCCGCCAGCAUUCUGGCGGGCAUGCCUGUUCGAGCGUCAUUUCAACCCUCAAGCUCCGCUUGGUGUUGGGGCCCUACGGUCGACGUAGGCCCUUAAAGGUAGUGGCGGACCCCCCCGGAGCCUCCUUUGCGUAGUAACUAACGUCUCGCAUCGGGAUCCGGAGGGACUCUUGCCGUAAAACCCCCAACUUUUUACUGGUUGACCUCGAAUCAGGUAGGAAUACCCGCUGAACUUAAGCAUAUCAAAAGGCGGAGGA
rnacentral:rRNA from 1 species